rnacentral:rRNA from 1 species
UCAGGACGAACGCUGGCGGCGUGCUUAACACAUGCAAGUCGAACGAUGAAGCCCUUCGGGGUGGAUUAGUGGCGAACGGGUGAGUAACACGUGGGCAAUCUGCCCUGCACUCUGGGACAAGCCCUGGAAACGGGGUCUAAUACCGGAUACGAGUCUCCACCGCAUGGUGGGGGUUGGAAAGCUCCGGCGGUGCAGGAUGAGCCCGCGGCCUAUCAGCUUGUUGGUGAGGUAACGGCUCACCAAGGCGACGACGGGUAGCCGGCCUGAGAGGGCGACCGGCCACACUGGGACUGAGACACGGCCCAGACUCCUACGGGAGGCAGCAGUGGGGAAUAUUGCACAAUGGGCGCAAGCCUGAUGCAGCGACGCCGCGUGAGGGAUGACGGCCUUCGGGUUGUAAACCUCUUUCAGCAGGGAAGAAGCGAAAGUGACGGUACCUGCAGAAGAAGCGCCGGCUAACUACGUGCCAGCAGCCGCGGUAAUACGUAGGGCGCAAGCGUUGUCCGGAAUUAUUGGGCGUAAAGAGCUCGUAGGCGGCUUGUCACGUCGGGUGUGAAAGCCCGGGGCUUAACCCCGGGUCUGCAUUCGAUACGGGCAGGCUAGAGUUCGGUAGGGGAGAUCGGAAUUCCUGGUGUAGCGGUGAAAUGCGCAGAUAUCAGGAGGAACACCGGUGGCGAAGGCGGAUCUCUGGGCCGAUAC